rnacentral:rRNA from 1 species
AUGCGGGACUCAUCAGAGGCCUCGCAAUUGGAAUGAGCGCACUUUAAAUCGUUCGACGAGGAUCUAUUGGAGGGCAAGUCUGGUGCCAGCAGCCGCGGUAAUUCCAGCUCCAAUAGCGUAUAUUAAAGUUGUUGCAGUUAAAAAGCUCGUAGUUGGAUCUGGGGUUCGGGUCGGCGGUUUGCCGCUUCGGCGGCUACUGCCGUGCUCGACUCUUACUAGCCGGUGCGUCUUGCGGUGCUCUUCAUCGAGUGCCGUAGGAGCCUGGCAUGUUUACUUUGAAAAAAUUAGAGUGCUCAAAGCAGGCGAUUCCGCCUGAAUAGUGUUGCAUGGAAUAAUGGAAUAGGACCUCGGUUCUAUUUUGUUGGUUUUCGGAACUUGAGGUAAUGAUUAAGAGGGACGGUCGGGGGCAUUCGUAUUUCGGUGUUAGAGGUGAAAUUCUUGGAUCGCUGAAAGACGGACAAAUGCGAAAGCAUCUGCCAAGAACGUCUCCAUUAAUCAAGAACGAAAGUCAGAGGUUCGAAGACGAUCAGACACCGUCCUAGUUCUGACCAUAAACGAUGCCAACUAGCGAUCCGCAGUGGUUGCUAUAAACGGACUCUGCGAGCAGCUUCCGGGAAACCAAAGUGUUUGGGUUCCGGGGGAAGUAUGGUUGCAAAGCUGAAACUUAAAGGAAUUGACGGAAGGGCACCACCAGGAGUGGAGCCUGCGGCUUAAUUUGACCCAACACGGGGAAACUCACCCGGUCCGGACACUGUAAGGAUUGACAGAUCGAGAGCUCUUUCUUGAUUCGGUGGAUGGUGGUGCAUGGCCGUUCUUAGUUGGUGGAGUGAUUUGUCUGGUUAAUUCCGAUAACGAACGAGACUCUAGCCUGCUAACUAGUUGCGCCGUGUUCAUACGCGGCUGUAGACUUCUUAGAGGGACAGGUGGCGUUUAGCCACACGAAAUUGAGCAAUAACAGGUCUGUGAUGCCCUUAGAUGUCCGGGGCCGCACGCGCGCUACACUGAAGGAGUCAGCGUGUGCUAUCCGGGCUCGGAAGAGUUCGGUAACCCGUUGAAACUCCUUCGUGCUUGGGAUUGUGGCUUGUAAUUAUCGCGCAUGAACGAGGAAUUCCCAGUAAGUGCAAGUCAUCAGCUUGCGCUGACUACGUCCCUGCCCUUUGUACACACCGCCCGUCGCUACUACCGAUUGAAUGGUUUAGCAAGGUACUCGGAUUGGUCUCGAUCUUGUACGAAAGUGCGGGAUCUGUGGCCGAGAAGAAGGCCAAACUUGAUCACUUAGAGGAAGUAAA